rnacentral:misc_RNA from 1 species
GCUUUUUGGCCUCCCAAUCACAAUACCAAACGGCGCCUAAAUAUAUUCUAAAACAGCAUUCAUGUCAAUAAAAUGCCAUAAUAAUAGAACAGCCAACAUCAAUGUUUUAGAAUGCAAGCGAAAACGCCUAUAUUUGCCCGUGGUUCUUCUGCUACUACAAAUACAUAAUAAAAUACCAAAUAAAUCCCAGAAACGAAGACUACUAAAGCCCAAGUCAAUGAGUCCUAAUCCAAACCCAGCAAACAUCAACAGCAAUUAAACAGCAAACAGAAGUAAAACUUAGAGAACAAAGCUUCAAUUUGAAAUUAGAAUUGACAUAUUCCCUACCUCCAAAAUUAUCCAAUAACAGCAAUUAACAAUCCUUCACAUAACAAGAGAAGCAAAACAACAGGCCACCAUCUAUAUUCAGCAAAGCUCAAAAUCAAUAAAUGAAAAAACAAAUUAGAGCCAUGAAU